rnacentral:rRNA from 1 species
AGCGAACGCUGGCGGCAGGCCUAACACAUGCAAGUCGAACGAACCUUUCGGGGUUAGUGGCGGACGGGUGAGUAACACGUGGGAACGUGCCUUUAGGCUCGGAAUAACUCAGGGAAACUUGUGCUAAUACCGAAUGUGCCCUUCGGGGGAAAGAUUUAUCGCCUUUAGAGCGGCCCGCGUCUGAUUAGCUAGUUGGUUGAGGUAAUGGCUCACCAAGGCGACGAUCAGUAGCUGGUCUGAGAGGAUGAUCAGCCACAUUGGGACUGAGACACGGCCCAAACUCCUACGGGAGGCAGCAGUGGGGAAUCUUGCGCAAUGGGCGAAAGCCUGACGCAGCCAUGCCGCGUGAAUGAUGAAGGUCUUAGGAUUGUAAAAUUCUUUCACCGGGGACGAUAAUGACGGUACCCGGAGAAGAAGCCCCGGCUAACUUCGUG